rnacentral:rRNA from 1 species
GACGGACGCUGGCGGCGUGCUUAACACAUGCAAGUCGAACGGAAAGGCCCUGCUUUUGUGGGGUGCUCGAGUGGCGAACGGGUGAGUAACACGUGAGUAACCUGCCCUUGACUUUGGGAUAACUUCAGGAAACUGGGGCUAAUACCGGAUAGGAGCUCCUGCUGCAUGGUGGGGGUUGGAAAGUUUCGGCGGUUGGGGAUGGACUCGCGGCUUAUCAGCUUGUUGGUGGGGUAGUGGCUUACCAAGGCUUUGACGGGUAGCCGGCCUGAGAGGGUGACCGGCCACAUUGGGACUGAGAUACGGCCCAGACUCCUACGGGAGGCAGCAGGGGGGAAUAUUGCACAAUGGGCGGAAGCCUGAUGCAGCAACGCCGCGUGCGGGGUGACGGCCUUCGGGUUGUAAACCGCUUUCGCCUGUGACGAAGCGUGAGUGACGGUAAUGGGUAAAGAAGCACCGGCUAACUACGUG